rnacentral:rRNA from 1 species
GACGAACGCUGGCGGCGUGCUUAACACAUGCAAGUCGAACGGAAAGGCCCUUCGGGGUACUCGAGUGGCGAACGGGUGAGUAACACGUGGGUGAUCUGCCCUGCACUUUGGGAUAAGCCUGGGAAACUGGGUCUAAUACCGAAUAGGACCACGCGCUUCAUGGUGUGUGGUGGCAAGCUUUUGCGGUGUGGGAUGGGCCCGCGGCCUAUCAGCUUGUUGGUGGGGUAAUGGCCUACCAAGGCGACGACGGGUAGCCGGCCUGAGAGGGUGACCGGCCACACUGGGACUGAGAUAGGGCCCAGACGCCUACGGGAGGCAGCAGUGGGGAAUAUUGCACAAUGGGCGCAAGCCUGAUGCAGCGACGCCGCGUGAGGGAUGACGGCCUUCGGGUUGUAAACCUCUUUCACCAGGGACGAAGCGUAAGUGACGGUACCUGGAGAAGAAGCACCGGCCAACUACGUG